GGUGGGGAGGAAAGGGAGAGAAGCCAAGGAACGCUUACAGCCCUUUCCCGGACCCUGGGGACCCUCUUGCCCACCCUUUGUCCUCCACGCGCUGUGCCCCCGGCACCCCGAACAGCUGCUGCACUAAACUUGGAACACAGUGGUGCUUGCCACCGUCAUAGCGCCUCCCACCGGACCACUUCCAGUAAGGCUCAUCCCCUGAUCUGCAAGUUCUCCAGCUCAGGGCUUGUAACUCCGAGAACCCUCGAACCCCAUGGGGGACUAAGGAUGCAGAAAGAGGUGUACCACGUCCUCCUUCCUCUGUGACCAGCUCGUAUGAUGCUGUCACCUUAGACUACAUUGUUAAAGACCCACAGGUCUGGGCUCACCACCAGGAAGAGAAUGUCAACUUAAGAAAAUUGUAAGAAACAAACCCAAGAGUCAGUAAACACACUCAGCCUAGAUACAUAAGUGCCAGCUAAGUUAGCGAUCUGAACCUUUCUACCCAUGGCUAGAAAUAAAGAUUCUGCCAAGUGAUAAGCGAGAAAGCUGAAGAGAAAGGAAGGCUUGAGCGAUGGGUGGGCUCUGUCCACUAGAGGUGAAAUUCUAACUUCCAGAUCUUGAAUACAAUUGUCACCUAAUAGUCACGUGAUUAUAACGAAAUCGAAAGUUAACCGGAAAAGUUCCAGACCUCUCUAGGACUCUGAAGUCUAUUUUCUCACACUUCACUAGAGGACAAGGCUAGGGAUGGGAUGUGUCACUCUGGUCCUCAAAGAUGUAGGCAGAAGGAAGAGAAGCUCAAGCCUCGUCCCUGUCCUAAGGAGACCACACUUAGAAAACGCGGUUAUAUGCUCCCCUCCCAACCUUUAUGCUCUCUCCUCGCUGCUUUGCGGAAAUACUUGCGGACAAGCUGGAUAGCGUCACUAGAAAGCUGAGACGUGGGUCUGGGAAGAUGGCCUGGUGAAGAAAGUUACCCAAGCAUAAGGCCCUGAGCUGGAAUGCUCAGUCAGGGCCAUAUCAAACUAGGUGUGGUAGUUCCCACUGUCAGUCCUGACAUUCCCACAGUAAGACGGGAGACAGACAUGGGGGGGAAAAUGUGAGAGUUAAUGGGCCAGCUAGCCUGGCAUGUUCAGUGCUGAACAACAAAAAGAAACUAUAGCUCAGCCUUCAAUCCCGGCACUCGGGAGGCAGAGGCCAGCGAAUCUCUGAGUUCAAGGCUGGGAUACUCUACAGAGCAAGUUCUAGGACAGCCAGGGCUAUACAGAGAAACCCUGUCUCAAAAAGCCAAAAUAAACAAAACAAUGAAAGAAAGAAAAAAAGAAAGAGAGAGAGGGAGGGAGGGAGGGAAGAAAAAAUGAAGGGAAAGAAAGAAGAAAAAAGACUCUCAAAGAAGGUGAAACCGGGAACUGACCCAAGGCUGUCCUCCAAUCUCCAUAGCACACCACUACCUGAAAAGAGCACGCCCAGUUCACUGUUAAGCAGAGCAGGAGAGGCAGAGCACUCCCAGUUUCACUGCUAAGCAGAGCAAGAGAUUUUCUUACAGGAUAUUGUUUCCACGGGAGUGAAAUUACAACUAACAGUUCAUUCAGAACCCAGGCCACUCACUCCUGAGGCCGUAAAGACCAUGAUUACACUCUUAACCUUGGGGAUUAAAACAGUCGUGGUUUUCCCACAAUCAUAAAAUUUGGGUGAAAAAAAAAGAGCAAAAUUUAGAAUAAUUAGAAGGAUAGACAUUUUAAGUCAAUUAGAUAUAAUCUAGACGGUAUUUUAAUAAGGACCUAAAACUUCCAAGAAAAAUCGCUAAAGGCUUAAUUGAUAAUGUGUGAUUUUUUUUGUGUGUGUGCCCAAACAUUUUAACAGACAAUUGUCCCACAUCACUUUGAGAUAAUUUGUGACCCGAGCCCAGAAAAUGUUGUCAUUGUAAUUAAUGAGGUAGAUUCUGCAGGACAAUGCAACCACAGUACUCAGUGGGAUAAAUACCGGCAUUUGUGCAAUGUGUAAAAGAGAGAGAGAGAGAGAAAGGAAAAUGGGUGUUUUGUAGCCUUUAUUCAUAGAGAAACAAUAAGAAAAAUAUCACCCAGAAAUGUGAGGCUGUGCAUACCUAUUGUUUUGUUCAACUUUCUCCAAAAAUAUCUGCCCAGUGCCAGGCACCACACUAGGGCUGCGAAUGAAUGAAGAGAGCACAAUGCUGUUGGAGGAGGAGGGAGAAGAGGAGGAGGGAGAAAGAGGGAAGGGGAGGGGGAAGAAAAAAACAGAAGGUUCACUUCUGUGAAUAUAUUUAAAAGAAUUGAAAGCAGAGAUUUUAGUAUAUCCACAUGCAUGUCAGUAUUAGGCACAAGGGCCAGAAGGUGGGGAUAGCCCAAGUAUGCACUGGUAACAGACCGAAUAAACAAAAUGUGAGGUAUCCACAGGCUAGAAUAUGACUUCAGCUUUAAAAGGAAAGGAAUUCUGACACCUGCUGCUACAUGGUUGAACUUUGAGUACUUUAUGUUGAGUGACUAAGCCAAUCCCAAAGAAUAAAUGCUGUAGGGUUCUACUUGUAUGACCUUCCUAGAGUAGUCAGGAUUGGAGGCAGAGGGGAAAUGGCGGGUAGGCACUGGGAUGUGAGACUUAAGAAGCUGCUGUUUGCUGGGGUUACAGUCACAGUUUGGAACAAUGAAAGUGUUCUCAAGGGCUAGAGAUGUGGCAUGGUAGGUUCAAGUUGAUAUGGAUUGCAUAUGCUCCACCCAGGGAGUGGCACUUUUGGAAGGUGUGGCCUGUUGGAAUAGGUGUAGCCUUGUUGGAGUAGGUGUGACCUUGUUCGAGUAGGUGCGUCACUGUAGGUGUGGGCUAUCAGACCCACUUCCUAGGUCCCUGGAAGUCAUUCUUCCACUAGCAGCCUUCAGAUGAAGAUGUGGAACUCUCAGCUCCUCCUGCACCGUGCCCGCCUAGAUGCUGCCAUGUUCCCACCUUGAUGAUAAUGGACUGAACCUCUGAACCUGUAAGCCAGCCCCAAUUAAAUGUUGCCCUUUAUAAGA